AUUUUUUCUCUCAGGAGUGAUCCUGUGCCACCUAUGUCAUCAAGAUCAAGAUCAAGAGCAUUUAAAACGUCCGAGUCACUGAUCACGGUGUUUCGAAGCAGUGUGAAUUCACGUGAACCAUGAAUAGCACACAUGAACAAAGAAAGGACGCUGAAUUGUUCUGAUAGUGACUGAACGAAUAAUUGUGUCUGGCAGUCUGCCAGACCUUGCCUUCUUCGCUUUCCCUAUUAACAAAAAGGUGUGCAGAAUAGGUGAGGAGGGCCGGAUGGACAGACCUAAUGAGCAAGUCAGCCUCUUACUUGACCACAACUUACAAGCUCUACACUCAACACUUUGAGUGUGACUCAUCCUUCAACACUUGCACAAGAAUAAGAAAGUUCAGCACCUAAAGAAACCUAACCCUCCCAACAAGCUGGCAACACCAUAUGUGGCAUUCAGUAAGCAGGUGUGGGCCUGGGUGUUUGCAUCCAACCUGAACCUCAAGUCAUGGGAGCUGGCCAGAAUUGUGUAUGUCAUUUGGGAAGAGCUGCUUGUUUUUGAAAAGAAAUACUAUGUGACUGAAUAUGAGACAAAAAAGGUGAAUAGUUAUGAUGGAACAGAAGUUUGUUGUCCUGUGUUGACUGGUGUACCAAGAGUAACCGUAAUAUACUGGUAUUUGUUUUUAAAUAUAUCAGAUAAUGUUCCUGAAAAGUAGUUCCAUAAACUUUAUGUGGAAGGAAAGGAUGUGUUGAAUUGUGAUUUAACAAAAACAUCAGAAAAUAAGGGAAGCUGCAAGAAGCCAUCAGGUAUACAUAAGGAAGAAACAUACCUACCUAUGGUCUGACCACUUUAUCCUGAGCAUUUAGGCAUUGUUCUUUCCAGCGAUUUCCCAGCCUGCAGCACUGCCAAACUUUGUACUGGGUGAAUUACUGGAUUAGAGCCCAAGUGUCAGUUAUAACCUCCCUCCUAACAAUUAUCUCUCUCUCUCUCUC